rnacentral:rRNA from 1 species
AGUGAACGCUGGCGGUAGGCCUAACACAUGCAAGUCGAACGGCAGCACAGUAAGAGCUUGCUCUUACGGGUGGCGAGUGGCGGACGGGUGAGGAAUACAUCGGAAUCUACUUUUUCGUGGGGGAUAACGUAGGGAAACUUACGCUAAUACCGCAUACGACCUACGUGUGAAAGCAGGGGAUCUUCGGACCUUUCGCGAUGGAAUGAGCCGAUGUCGGAUUAGCUAGUUGGCGGGGUAAAGGCCCACCAAGGCGACGAUCCGUAGCUGGUCUGAGAGGAUGAUCAGCCACACUGGAACUGAGACACGGUCCAGACUCCUACGGGAGGCAGCAGUGGGGAAUAUUGGACAAUGGGCGCAAGCCUGAUCCAGCCAUACCGCGUGGGUGAAGAAGGCCUUCGGGUUGUAAAGCCCUUUUGUUGGGAAAGAAAAGCAGCAGGUUAAUACCCCGCUGUUCUGACGGUACCCAAAGAAUAAGCACCGGCUAACUUCGUG